rnacentral:rRNA from 1 species
GAUGAACGCUGGCGGCGUGCCUAAUACAUGCAAGUCGAGCGAACAGACGAGGAGCUUGCUCCUCUGACGUUAGCGGCGGACGGGUGAGUAACACGUGGAUAACCUACCUAUAAGACUGGGAUAACUUCGGGAAACCGGAGCUAAUACCGGAUAAUAUAUUGAACCGCAUGGUUCAAUAGUGAAAGACGGUUUUGCUGUCACUUAUAGAUGGAUCCGCGCCUCAUUAGCUAGUUGGUAAGGUAACGGCUUACCAAGGCAACGAUGCGUAGCCGACCUGAGAGGGUGAUCGGCCACACUGGAACGGAGACACGGUCCAGACUCCUACGGGAGGCAGCAGUAUGGAAUCUUCCGCAAUGGGCGAAAGCCUGACGGAGCAACGCCGCGUGAGUGAUGAAGGUCUUCGGAUCGUAAAACUCUGUUGUUAGGGAAGAACAAAUGUGUAAGUAACUAUGCACGUCUUGACGGUACCUAAUCAGAAAGCCACGGCUAACUACGUG